CCUACGGGCGGCAGCAGUGGGGAAUAUUGGACAAUGGGCGAAAGCCUGAUCCAGCCAUGCCGCGUGUGUGAAGAAGGCCUUCGGGUUGUAAAGCACUUUCAGUGGGGAAGAAAGCCUUGGGGCUAAUACCCUCGAGGAAGGACAUCACCCACAGAAGAAGCACCGGCUAACUCCGUGCCAGCAGCCGCGGUAAUACGGAGGGUGCGAGCGUUAAUCGGAAUUACUGGGCGUAAAGCGCGCGUAGGCGGUCUGAUAAGCCGGUUGUGAAAGCCCCGGGCUCAACCUGGGAACGGCAUCCGGAACUGUCAGGCUAGAGUGCAGGAGAGGAAGGUAGAAUUCCCGGUGUAGCGGUGAAAUGCGUAGAGAUCGGGAGGAAUACCAGUGGCGAAGGCGGCCUUCUGGACUGACACUGACGCUGAGGUGCGAAAGCGUGGGUAGCAAACAGGAUUAGAUCCCCUUUAGUC
rnacentral:rRNA from 1 species